AUGGAUAGGAAAAGAAAAGAAAUCCCAUCUAUUAUUACUUACAACAUUUAUUUUAUUGUUUGGUGUUAUCAGAUCCUAUUAUAUUGGUUGAUUAUUAUUCUUCAAAGUUUUACAAGUCUAAUAGUUAGAGAAGUUAUAGCUCUUGUCGAAGAUUGUUUUGUAUCAUUUCUUUUGCUUUUAAUUAUAGGAGGAUGUUUUGUGAAUUCAAAGGCAUUGAGGGUAUGUUUGGGAGUUUGGUUUUGA